rnacentral:rRNA from 1 species
CAAUAGCGUAUAUUAAAGUUGUUGCAGUUAAAAAGCUCGUAGUUGGAUUUGUGGCGUACGGUGUGUUCCGGGCACUUGUUGUCUGAGUAACCUGCUGUUGCCAUCCUUGGGUGGAACCUGUGUGGCAUUAGGUUGUCGUGCAGGGGAUGCCCAUCAUUUACUGUGAAAAAAUUAGAGUGUUCAAAGCAGGCUUAUGCCGUUGAAUAUAUUAGCAUGGAAUAAUAAGAUAGGACUUUUUUGCUAUUUUGUUGGUUUGCGCAAGAAGGUAAUGAUUAAUAGGGACAGUUGGGGGUAUUCGUAUUCCAUUGUCAGAGGUGAAAUUCUUGGAUUUUUGGAAGACGAACUACUGCGAAAGCAUUUACCAAGGAUGUUUUCAUUAA